rnacentral:rRNA from 1 species
CUCAAAGAGGGGGACAACAGUUGGAAACGACUGCUAAUACCGCAUAAGCCCACGGCUCGGCAUCGAGCAGAGGGAAAAGGAGCAAUCCGCUNUGAGAUGGCCUCGCGUCCGAUUAGCUAGUUGGUGAGGUAACGGCCCACCAAGGCGACGAUCGGUAGCCGGACUGAGAGGUUGAACGGCCACAUUGGGACUGAGACACGGCCCAGACUCCUACGGGAGGCAGCAGUGGGGAAUAUUGCACAAUGGGGGAAACCCUGAUGCAGCGACGCCGCGUGGAGGAAGAAGGUCUUCGGAUUGUAAACUCCUGUUGUUGGGGAAGAUAAUGACGGUACCCAACAAGGAAGUGACGGCUAACUACGUGCCAGCAGCCGCGGUAAAACGUAGGUCACAAGCGUUGUCCGGAAUUACUGGGUGUAAAGGGAGCGCAGGCGGGAAGACAAGUUGGAAGUGAAAUCUAUGGGCUCAACCCAUAAACUGCUUUCAAAACUGUUUUUCUUGAGUAGUGCAGAGGUAGGCGGAAUUCCCGGUGUAGCGGUGGAAUGCGUAGAUAUCGGGAGGAACACCAGUGGCGAAGGCGGCCUACUGGGCACCAUCUGACGCUGAGGCUCGAAAGUGUGGGUAGCAAACAGGAUUAGAUACCCUGGUAGUCCACACCGUAAACGAUGAUUACUAGGUGUUGGAGGAUUGACCCCUUCAGUGCCGCAGUUAACACAAUAAGUAAUCCACCUGGGGAGUACGACCGCAAGGUUGAAACUCAAAGGAAUUGACGGGGGCCCGCACAAGCAGUGGAGUAUGUGGUUUAAUUCGACGCAACGCGAAGAACCUUACCAAGUCUUGACAUCCCUUGACAGGCAUAGAAAUAUGUUUUCUCUUCGGAGCAAGGAGACAGGUGGUGCAUGGUUGUCGUCAGCUCGUGUCGUGAGAUGUUGGGUUAAGUCCCGCAACGAGCGCAACCCUUAUGGUCAGUUACUACGCAAGAGGACUCUGGCCAGACUGCCGUUGACAAAACGGAGGAAGGUGGGGAUGACGUCAAAUCAUCAUGCCCUUUAUGACUUGGGCUACACACGUACUACAAUGGCGUUAAACAAAGAGAAGCAAGACCGCGAGGUGGAGCAAAACUCAGAAACAACGUCCCAGUUCGGACCGCAGGCUGCAACUCGCCUGCACGAAGUCGGAAUUGCUAGUAAUCGUGGAUCAGCAUGCCACGGUGAAUACGUUCCCGGGCCUUGCACA